UACGUAGGGGCAAGCGUUGUCCGGAAUCAUUGGGCGUAAAGAGCGUGUAGGCGGCUUGGUAAGUCCGCUGUGAAAGUCCAGGGCUCAACCCUGGAAUGCCGGUGGAAACUGCCAAGCUAGAGUCCGGAAGAGGCGAGUGGAAUUCCUGGUGUAGCGGUGAAAUGCGCAGAUAUCAGGAGGAACACCAAUGGCGAAGGCAGGUCUCUGGGCCGAUACUGACGCUGAGGAGCGAAAGCGUGGGGAGCGAACAGG
rnacentral:rRNA from 1 species